GCCGGGAGGGCGGGAGCGAGGGUACCAAGAGCAGGUUUGGGUGACGAUAACCCGCAACGGUGCUCAGCGCGGGAAGAGCUGACGGCCCUGGAUCCCGCAGGCUUUGCUGAACAAAUCAGACUCUCUCAUUCACGCUUGGUCACGUUGCCUGUGCCAGCAAGAGGCCGCACUGCAGCAGGAGGGAAGCCUUUGGACUUUGGAAAGCAAGGUAUCUGUGUCUUGUACCUCAGACUUCCUGGAAGACGGGGCUGUGGAAUCCAGACAGGUGGUACGAGAUGCCUCGGCUAGCCCAGGCUGGAGGCUUGAGCAGUGAAGCACAACCUGGACAGCCAAGACCAAGUCCAAGAGUACUGUCAGUAAGUCCCAGGACUGUCUCCUCAGUGGCCCCUUGGCAGUAUAAAUGGCAGUGGGGGCAAAUGCUCUCUAUGGAGACUGAUUCCCUGGCCUUUACUUCAAUCUGCCUAUCACACCUCCUCCACCCCCACCCCUUUGUUUUAACCCAAAUCAAAAGGCAUUAGAAAACUGGCUUGGCAGCCCUGGUCCUCAGACUGAAUGUGAACAGCUUUACCCAGGCUACUGUGAAGCUGAGCAUUCAUAAAUCCUUCUAGAACCUAUUUGUUGUAGAUUAAUAGCAAUAUUUUCUGCCACAAUUGUGUAGUUGGUUUCAGACUCUUGUCAAAUGAGGCAGAAGACUAGUAUCGUACUUAUCACACAUUAUAAUUUUUUU